GUGAGUCAUCGAAUCUUUGAACGCAUAUUGCACCCCUUGGUAGUCCGGGGGGUAUACCUGUUCGAGCGCCAUUUAAACCCUCAAGCAUAGCUUGGUGUUGGGUAAAUAAGGUCUUUGUAAGACCUACCCGUAACUUGUAGGCGGUCAUCUUACUGUACCUUCAGCGUAGCAAGCUUAAUGCAUUCGCUCAAGGAAGGGUAUGUUUUGAUCAGUCAAAAAAAACCUACUUUUUUCAAGGUUUGGCCUCGGAUCAGGUGGGGAUACCCGCUGAACUUAAGCAUAUCAAUAAGCGGAGGA
rnacentral:misc_RNA from 1 species